UGUAUUCACUACUGUAAGUUGCUCUGGAUAAGAGCGUCUGCUAAAUGAUGUAAA
rfam:Salmo salar isolate Sally breed double haploid chromosome ssa09, whole genome shotgun sequence.